GACGAACGCUGGCGGCAUGCUUAACGCAUGCAAGUCGAACGGAAAGGCCCUGCUUGCCGGGUACUCGAGUGGCGAACGGGUGAGUAACACGUGGGUGAUCUGCCCUGCACUUCGGGAUAAGCCUGGGAAACUGGGUCUAAUACCGGAUAGGAGCCAUUUUUAGUGUGAUGGUUGGAAAGUUUUUUCGGUGUAGGAUGAGCUCGCGGCCUAUCAGCUUGUUGGUGGGGUAAUGGCCUACCAAGGCGGCGACGGGUAGCCGGCCUGAGAGGGUGGACGGCCACAUUGGGACUGAGAUACGGCCCAGACUCCUACGGGAGGCAGCAGUGGGGAAUAUUGCACAAUGGGCGCAAGCCUGAUGCAGCGACGCCGCGUGGGGGAUGACGGCCUUCGGGUUGUAAACUCCUUUCGCUAGGGACGAAGCUUUUUGUGACGGUACCUAGAUAAGAAGCACCGGCUAACUACGUG
rnacentral:rRNA from 1 species